GGGUUGUGAGGUUAAGCGACUAAGCGUACACGGUGGAUGCCCUGGCAGUCAGAGGCGAUGAAGGACGUGCUAAUCUGCGAUAAGCGUCGGUAAGGUGAUAUGAACCGUUAUAACCGGCGAUUUCCGAAUGGGGAAACCCAGUGUGUUUCGACACACUAUCAUUAACUGAAUCCAUAGGUUAAUGAGGCGAACCGGGGGAACUGAAACAUCUAAGUACCCCGAGGAAAAGAAAUCAACCGAGAUUCCCCCAGUAGCGGCGAGCGAACGGGGAGCAGCCCAGAGCCUGAAUCAGUGUGUGUGUUAGUGGAAGCGUCUGGAAAGGCGCGCGAUACAGGGUGACAGCCCCGUACACAAAAAUGCACAUGCUGUGAGCUCGAUGAGUAGGGCGGGACACGUGGUAUCCUGUCUGAAUAUGGGGGGACCAUCCUCCAAGGCUAAAUACUCCUGACUGACCGAUAGUGAACCAGUACCGUGAGGGAAAGGCGAAAAGAACCCCGGCGAGGGGAGUGAAAAAGAACCUGAAACCGUGUACGUACAAGCAGUGGGAGCACGCUUAGGCGUGUGACUGCGUACCUUUUGUAUAAUGGGUCAGCGACUUAUAUUCUGUAGCAAGGUUAACCGAAUAGGGGAGCCGAAGGGAAACCGAGUCUUAACUGGGCGUUAAGUUGCAGGGUAUAGACCCGAAACCCGGUGAUCUAGCCAUGGGCAGGUUGAAGGUUGGGUAACACUAACUGGAGGACCGAACCGACUAAUGUUGAAAAAUUAGCGGAUGACUUGUGGCUGGGGGUGAAAGGCCAAUCAAACCGGGAGAUAGCUGGUUCUCCCCGAAAGCUAUUUAGGUAGCGCCUCGUGAAUUCAUCUCCGGGGGUAGAGC
rnacentral:rRNA from 1 species